ensembl:lncRNA
UUGAAUGGGACACAAGCUGGGCGGUGGUGAAGAUGCGGCGGUCUCUUCUGAAAUGGCUGCCUACUGGUGUUUGGAGCUCACACCUUCUGUACGCCUCCCGUCAGCCUCGGUGUCUGAGGUCCUAGAUUGCGAUAAAAGGAGAAGAAAGAGGAUCCUUUCCGAGUCACGGGUAUGGGGGCGCAGUUCGACGUGCACAGUGUGACGGGACACACAGAAGAAGCAGCGGUAGCAUCUGUUUAUUCUUCUCAUCUGUUUUUUGGCUUCAAUCAAUUAGAUGAAGGGUUAAAUGCAGACCACACUGUUAAUGCUAUAAAGCAUUUAUCUAUGUACAGGCACAUCCAAGACCGCUAGACAAUUGACCAGUGUAACACAGUUGAUUUGACUAAUGAAUUAUUAACCUUUACUUACCUCUAGAGCUAACUUUAUAGAUGUACUGGCACAACAUUAAGCAAAUCAAUGCAACGUAUUAUUAUUAUUUUUACGUGUGUUUAUCAGUGCAGUGCCUUUAACCCAGCUGAUAUUGACGCACCGGUAGCCUUUCAUUGUGUUGUAGAUCUUAGAAAGUCCCUUUUGCUACAGUCCCCUGAGGUUGUAAGGCCUGCGUCCUGAAUGGCACCCUAUUCCUUUUACAGUGCACUACUUUAGACCAGGGCCCGUAGGGCUCGGAUCAGAGGUAAUGCGUUGUAUAAGGGGAUAGGAUUGGGAGUCAACCUGUCUAAAUGCAGAAGAGAGACUCUGUGUGUGUGUGUGUGUGUGUGUGUGUGUGUGUGUGUGUGUGUGUGUGAGCAUGUCAGUAACAGGAGGCUUGUUUAUAAAAUGCAUGCAUAUGUUCAGUGAAUGGGACAAAGCUUUUUGUGAACCUUUACUGAACUAAACUGGCCAACUUGACCUUUUAACACAUUUCAAGCUAUUUAAUUGUGCCUUUGGUGACUGACAAUCACAUGCUGAUUAGUUCAACUUGAAUGUUGAGCACAGUUUGCCAAUGACCCUGUUAAACAAUGAAGGACUUAUGUACUAUUUAGGCGUUGCUUGUGUGUGAAUGUUACUUGUACCACCGAAUUGAUGUUUUUGAUAAUCCAUUAUCACUGCUCACUAAUAAUAAACCACUAUUGGUUAGCGGAGUCUUUUUA